rnacentral:lncRNA from 1 species
CUGUUUAUCUCUGUGUGGUGUAUAAUGUCUGUGUGUCAAGGCUGACUCUGUUCACCUUUAUGUCUCUCAAGAUAAAACCACAAGGUAUCUGGGCAUUAGGCUCAUUUUUGGUAGAUUACACUUGUGAGGUCACAAUGCCAUAAGGAAAGCUGAGGUCACAUAGAUAAACUACAAAAAAACCCCACAUAACUGUACCACACCUUUAUGCGACAAUACCAUACAACACAGUACACAUAUGAUAAAACUGGCAGUUUGUUAACAUGAGGCAAUGUGACUCCAAAAGUGUGCCACUGUAACUAGGUUGCUCUUCCUGUGAUUUUCUAGUGGUUACACAUUCACCGAGAUCCACAUGAGGUCAUUCCAAGAAAAGUCGUGUGACUGGAACCACAAUGGCAGAUGCAAAGAUCUGGCAGGUCCUCCUUUCUCUUUCUUUGCUAAUCAGGUGUAACUAUUCAAAGACACUAAAGAGACUUCCUGGCAAAAAGCUGUGGCCUGCUGCCGGAUGACCUGGAAGAGG